rnacentral:lncRNA from 1 species
UAAUUUAGGAAUAGUAUUGAUAUUUACAUGUUUAUAUUGAUAUUUAGGAAUAGUAUUUAAUAGUAUUGAUAUUUAGGAAUAGUAUUGAUAUUUCAAUGAUAUUUUUUUUUAUUGUUUGCUGUUGAUUGAUUUUUUGAAAUGGUUUUGCCGUAAUUUAGGAAUAGUAUUGACAUUUACAUGUUUAUAUUGAUAUUUAGGAAUAGUAUUAACAGUAUUGAUAUUUCUAAAUAGUAUUGUUAUUUCAUUGAUAUUUUUGUUUGAUUGUUUGCUGUUGAUUGAUUUUUGAAGAUUGAUUUGCUGUAAUUUAGGAAUAGUAUUGAUACUUACAUGUUUAUAUCGAUAUUUAGGAAUAUUAUUGAUAUUUCAAUGAUAUUUUUGUUUGAUUGUUUUCUGUUGAUUGAUUUUUUAAG